ACCUGUCUGGCUCAGUAAAUAGAGCAUGUGACUCUUGUUUGAUUUUGAGGUUGUGGGUUCAAGCCCCACGUUGGGUG
rnacentral:tRNA from 1 species